GAAAGUGGGGGACCGCAAGGCCUCAUGCUAUAGGAGCGGCCGAUGUCUGAUUAGCUAGUUGGUGGGGUAAAGGCCCACCAAGGCGACGAUCAGUAGCUGGUCUGAGAGGACGAUCAGCCACACUGGGACUGAGACACGGCCCAGACUCCUACGGGAGGCAGCAGUGGGGAAUUUUGGACAAUGGGCGAAAGCCUGAUCCAGCAAUGCCGCGUGUGUGAAGAAGGCCUUCGGGUUGUGAAGCACUUUUGUCCGGAAAGAAAUGGCUCUGGUUAAUACCUGGGGUCGAUGACGGUACCGGAAGAAUAAGGACCGGCUAACUACGUGCCAGCAGCCGCGGUAAUACGUAGGGUCCAAGCGUUAAUCGGAAUUACUGGGCGUAAAGCGUGCGCAGGCGGUUGUGCAAGACCGAUGUGAAAUCCCCGAGCUUAACUUGGGAAUUGCAUUGGUGACUGCACGGCUAGAGUGUGUCAGAGGGGGGUAGAAUUCCACGUGUAGCAGUGAAAUGCGUAGAGAUGUGGAGGAAUACCGAUGGCGAAGGCAGCCCCCUGGGAUAACACUGACGCUCAUGCACGAAAGCGUG
rnacentral:rRNA from 1 species